GGGCCCGCACAAGCGGUGGAGCAUGUGGUUUAAUUCGAAGCAACGCGAAGAACCUUACCAGUCCUUGACAUGGGUAGUUUGGUUAUUGGAGACAAUUUCCUUCAGUUCGGCUGGCUACCACACAGGUGCUGCACGGCUGUCGUCAGCUCGUGUCGUGAGAUGUUGGGUUAAGUCCCGCAACGAGCGCAACCCUCAUCUUUAGUUGCCAUCGGUUCGGCCGGGCACUCUAAAGAAACUGCCUGCGAUGAGCAGGAGGAAGGCGGGGACGACGUCAAGUCAUCAUGGCCCUUAUGGACUGGGCUACACACGUGCUACAAUGGCGGUGACAACAGGCAGCGAAGGGGUGACCUGGAGCAAAUCCUAAAAAGCCGUCCCAGUUCGGAUUGUACUCUGCAACUCGAGUACAUGAAGUUGGAAUCGCUAGUAAUCGC
rnacentral:rRNA from 1 species